UACCAGCUCUCCGAGUGGUAGGGAUGAUUAUUGGGCUUAAAGCGUCCGUAGCCGGCUUAGCAAGUCUCCUGUUAAAUUCAGCGACCUAAUCGUUGAGCCGCGGGAGAUACUACUAGGCUAGGAGGCGGGAGAGGUCAACGGUACUUCCGGGGUAGGGGUGAAAUCCUAUAAUCCCGGGAGGACCACCAGUGGCGAAGGCUGUUGACUAGAACGCGCUCGACGGUGAGGGACGAAAGCUGGGGGAGCGAACCGGAUUAGAUACCCGGGUAGUCCCAGCUGUAAACGAUGCGAGCUAGGUGUUGGGGUGGCUACGUGCCACUUCAGUGCCGCAGGGAAGCCAUUAAGCUCGCCGCCUGGGGAGUACGGCCGCAAGGCUGAAACUUAAAGGAAUUGGCGGGGGAGCACCACAAGGCGCGAAGCUUGCGGUUC
rnacentral:rRNA from 1 species